CCUACGGGAGGCAGCAGUGGGGAAUAUUGGACAAUGGGCGCAAGCCUGAUCCAGCCAUGCCGCGUGUGUGAAGAAGGCCUUCGGGUUGUAAAGCACUUUUAUCCGGAAAGAAAAGCUUUGGGUUAAUACCCUGAAGUCAUGACGGUACCGGAAGAAUAAGCACCGGCUAACUUCGUGCCAGCAGCCGCGGUAAUACGAAGGGUGCAAGCGUUACUCGGAAUUACUGGGCGUAAAGCGUGCGUAGGUGGUUUGUUAAGUCUGAUGUGAAAGCCCUAGGCUCAACCUGGGAAUUGCAUUGGAUACUGGCAGGCUAGAGUGCGGUAGAGGAUAGUGGAAUUCCCGGUGUAGCAGUGAAAUGCGUAGAGAUCGGGAGGAACAUCUGUGGCGAAGGCGACUAUCUGGGCCAGCACUGACACUGAGGCACGAAAGCGUGGGGAGCAAACAGGAUUAGAUACCCUGGUAGUCCACGCCCUAAACGAUGCGAACUGGAUGUUGGGUGCAACUAGGCACUCAGUAUCGAAGCUAACGCGUUAAGUUCGCCGCCUGGGGAGUACGGUCGCAGACUGAACUUAAGGAAUUGACG
rnacentral:rRNA from 1 species